UGCGGAUUGUCUUAUAAUUAUUUCUUGGUUUUCCCUUGUUUUGGUAAAGUAUUAUUUUGGUUGUUGUAGAUUUAUUGAUUUAAUUUAGUUUAUUAUAGGUUAGUUGUACUGUGGAGGGUUGUUUAUUUGCUUUUGGAAGUUGAUUUUAUUUGUUGUACCUUGUGUAUCAGGGUUUAUUAAUUUUUAUUAUUUAUUUUUAUUUCCCGAUUUUAGAAGAGCUAAAUAAUUAUUUUGGUUACCGUGUCAUUGGUAUCUUUAAUUAUUAUUUGGUAGUGAUACGUUAAUCGUUUCUAGUGGUUUCUGGUUUUUCAAGAGAUGAAUUUAAUUCACACUUCUUGUUUAGUUGUCAUUUUUUAUUUGUUUUGCUUAACUUGUAGUGAAGGUUUUGGGGGAUAAGCUUUAAUUCUUUAUUAUAAUAUUUCUUGUUCGAAUUAUAUUGUGGGCUUUAUAUUGGCUAUCUAUUUGAGUAUGUUAAAAUUUUGUUUUACUGUCUAUAGAAUUUAUGUUGUAAUUUAAUUGUUUAUUGAAAUGUCUAGUAAAAUUAUGGAUCUUUUAUAAUUAUGAUUGAAUUAGUAUAUUUGGGUUUAUUAUGUUUUGGUUGUGGAAAUAUUUUCAGAGGAACUAGGCAAAAGUUAGGGGUGCCCGCCUGUUUAACAAAAACAUCUCUUCUUGAUAAUUUUUUUGAAGUAUGGCCUGCCCGCUGGGGAAGUUGAAGGGCCGCGGUAUUUUGACCGUGCAAAGGUAGCAUAAUCAUUAGUUUUUUAAUUGUAAACUGGAAUGAAUGGUUUGACGAGGUAUCAUCUGUCUUUGGGAAAUUGUAACGAUGAAUUUGGUGUCUGGGUAAAAAUACUUAGAUUUUAUUGUGGGACGAGAAGACCCUUUAAACUCUAUAGGGUCUUCUCG
rnacentral:rRNA from 1 species